GUCAGGAUGGCCGAGCAGUCUAAGGCGCCAGACUAAAGUUUCCAGUCUUGCUUCGCUAAUGCGCAACCAAAGGGCGUUCUGGUCCACUAAUGUGUGCGUGGGUUCGAAUCCCACUCCUGACA
rnacentral:tRNA from 1 species